GUGGCAAACUGCCUUUUGAAUUACUUCUUUUUUAAAAGCUUGGAGGAAGACACAGGGGAGCUGCAAGGAGCAGAUUUCUUCAGCCAGGAGGAUAAAUGCAGCUGUCAAGCCUGCAGGGAAAGAUUCCCCAAGACCCGCUCACUGGAGCCAAGUGU